CCUAGGGCCGCGGUCGCUUCGUCUAGCCUGCGAGUCUCAGAGGAAAAAGGGGCUCCAGAAGUGCGUCCCCCGGGCCACUCACUCGACCCUGCAAUUGUGGGGGGAAGAGAAUAGAGGAGUGAAGAAGGGUGCAUUUUCCAUCUCACCUCAGUCCUCGGCUAGGAAGACCACGUAGCCCUGACCAGUGGGCUCAAGGCCCUGCUGGAAACUGGUUCUGAGUGUAUAUGUCUCAGCUUGAGAUGAGAAAAUGAGAACAAGUAACAAGCAUGUUUUUCAACUGUAAAAUUGGUUUUCAAAUCUGCCAAUUGGUGAAAGGAGAUCCACUUCUCUCUCAAGUUACAGAAGCAGAAAUUCAACUGGUCCUUAUUAAUGAAAGAUCUUCAGUGAAGGUUGAAAGCCCUUCAGAUUAAUCACACCAGACUUUGAGCUCCUCUGGCCUCUGUGGUUCCAUCAUCUGUGCUCAUGGCUCACAGGUGUGCAGGACAGCUAUGUCCAGGACUAACCGAGGACAAAAAUGGUUACUUAACCACCCAGUUGAAAUACCCUUUCUAUGGAAGGUUAAAAAUCCCAGAAAGUCUGUGGGACUGGCUUUUGGAGUAUAGCUAUGAGUAAACUAUUCUCUAGAUUUUCCCAAUGUAUUGUGAUUCAAUUUAUCAGAUAAAUGAGUUGUUGGAGGACUUUCAUUUAAAUUGACAAAUUUUCCUCCAGUAUAAAGUUCCAUAGGGACAUAGUCUUCAUUCUUUACCAGUUUCAGGUUGCCACUAAUGUCUAGAGGAACUAAAGGUAUUUAGCAUCAGGGUGACAUAUGAGCUACUUUCAAAUACUUGUAGAAUGUUAUAUAGAAGUAGUAGUGUACUUUUUCUCCAAAGUCAUUUGGGUGGGACAAAAUCUUAGUAAUCAUAGUUGUCCAGUAGACUACUUUGGAGGUUGUGACCCACCUCUACCUCUGGAGAUGUUCAAUAAAAGUGUGGAUGAUCAUUUGACAUGAAAGUCAUGUGUCAGAUAUUUCUUGGACCAGAUGGUAUGAAAGAGCUCUCCAAACCUGAAAGUUCUAAGAAUCUUUAAUGAGUAUUUAAAAAAAUUAUUCAAAAUUUUUUGUUGUUUUAGCAUGAAAUCUGAGGAAGAGCUGUUUGCUAGAGGCAAAAUGUAUGCCUAUGUUUUUAUACUUCUACGUUUUAAAAUUAUUGCAUUAUUUUAUCUU